rnacentral:rRNA from 1 species
GUGCAGCAGGCGCGAAACCUUCGCAAUGCAGGAAACUGCGACGAGGGAACUCCAAGUGCCUACGCUCAGCGUAGGCUGUUCUCAAGCCUAGAAAGCUUGAGGAGUAAGGGCUGGGUAAGACGGGUGCCAUCUGUGGUAGCAGUCAAUAGAUUCGAUUUGUUACUGCAAGGCAUAAGCGGCGCGGUAAUACCCGCAGCCCAAGUGGUGGCCGCUUUUAUUGGGCCUAAAGCGUCCGUAGCCGGCCCGGUAAAUGCCUGGGGU